rnacentral:rRNA from 1 species
UACAGAGGCCUCGAGCGUAGGCGGAAUCACUGGGCUUAAAGCGUGUGUAGGCGGAUUGGUAAGUACCUUGUGAAAUCCCACAGCUUAACUGUGGAACUGCUCGGUAUACUGCUGAUCUUGAGCCACUCAGGGGCUACCGGAACAAAUGGUGGAGCGGUGAAAUGCGUAGAUAUCAUUUGGAACGCCAAUGGUGAAAACAGGUAGCUGGGGAUGAUGCUGACGCUGGAGACACGAAAGCCAGGGGAGCGAACGGG